rnacentral:rRNA from 1 species
ACUCCUACGGGAGGCAGCAGUGGGGAAUAUUGUGCAAUGGGGGAAACCCUGACACAGCAACGCCGCGUGAGCGAAGAAGGCCUUCGGGUUGUAAAGCUCACAUAGUAUGGGAAGAUAAUCACGUACCAUACGAAAGCACCGACAGCUCG